rnacentral:lncRNA from 1 species
AUGUGGCAUCACAGCCUCCCGGGGCGCGGCAGGGGGUGUGCACGCUGGGGAAGGGGGGGGCACCGAAUGCAUUGGAGCAUUUCACGCCCCUGUCCCCUCUCAACCGUCAGGACAAGGCCGUUGGACCGUGGGGAGGCGCGGCGGGCCCCGAUCCCUGCCGGCGGCCUGGCCGUGGCAUCUGACUGGGGGCUGGGGGAAGCUUUCUGCAUCCUCACGGAGCUGAGGGUCCUUGCCCCGGUGCCCUGGAGGGGGCUGCCUCCUUCCUGGGUUCCCGUCCCACGCUGCCGGGGUGUCUCGUCCUCAAGCGCUGGCCCCCGGCAGCCCCGCACCUCGCCGGGCAGCCAGCGGUUUGUGACACCCAGGCCCCCCGCUCCCCAGUCAGCAUCAGAGCAGUUGGUCUCUACAACCCUCCAAACCCCCAGGUGUGCAUCUGAAAUAAAACCUCCAUGCGUCCAUUGCACAGAACCACCCCCCCCGCCCCCCCGCCUUCCCGUCCGUCAGCCGCACAGAUUCCCUCCCUGCCACGGCCCGUCAGUCAUUCAAGUCAGCCCACGUACACCGCGGUGCCUGUCAGCCCCCCAGACCCCCCUGUCCACAGGCCUCCUGUCCCUUUCCCCUCCGUCCGCUGCACAGACCCCCCGGGUCUCCCUUCUGGCCCCCCAUCCCUCCCGGCCUGGUCCGUGCUCCGGCGGUUGCACAGCUUGUGUUGCAAACCCAGGGUGUUUUGCUCCUGCUGAAGUCAAAGCCCAUUCCUUUCCCCCCGGGGAGAAGCAGCAGCACGAAAUAAAUACAACAAUAAAUAAAAUAAAUAUAGGAGGAGUUUCGGAGAGACGGCGGCGUCUCUUUUGUCCUGAUGAGCAGCCCGGAGAGACUCCGUCAGCAGCCCCGCUCGGGAGAAAACCCCGCUGGGAUUUCCCUAGAGAGCCAGGAGCUAUUGCUGCGGCCAGCCAGGCCAGGGCUGCACGGGAGCGAGGGGCUCCGGGUGGGAAACCCCUGGGGCCAGCUCUGGCUGCGGUUGUGUUGCACAGCGAUCCCCCCGGCUGGGAAGUGGAGGAGACAAACACACGCCCGGGAAAGCACUUCUCUCCAAGCCCCCAGCUGCAGAAGGCCCCGGGGGAGCAGCCGGAGGAGGGUAAAGGGCAGCCCGUGCUUCCCGGCCCAUGA